rnacentral:rRNA from 1 species
UUGGAGGGCAAGUCUGGUGCCAGCAGCCGCGGUAAUUCCAGCUCCAAUAGCGUAUAUUAAAGUUGUUGCAGUUAAAAAGCUCGUAGUUGAAUUUCGGGAUCAAUUUAUCGGUCGUGCCAAUGGUAUGAACUGGUACAAUUGGUUUCUCCCUUCUGACGAAGCAUGAUGUCAUUAAUUUGGUGUCGUGGGGAAUCAGGACUGUUACUUUGAGAAAAUUAGAGUGUUUAAAGCAAGCAUUAGCUUGAAUACAUUAGCAUGGAAUAAUGAAAUAGGACGUUUGAUCCUAUUUCGUUGGUUUCUAGGAUCGACGUAAUGAUUAAUAGGGAUAGUUGGGGGCAUUAGUAUUCAAUUGUCAGAGGUGAAAUUCUUGGAUUUAUUGAAGACUAACUACUGCGAAAGCAUUUGCCAAGGAUGUUUUCAUUAAUCAAGAACGAAAGUUAGGGGAUCGAAGACGAUCAGAUACCGUCGUAGUCUUAACCAUAAACUAUGCCGACUAGGGAUCGGAUGAUGUUAAUUUUUUAAUGACUCAUUCGGCGCCUUACGGGAAAC